rnacentral:misc_RNA from 1 species
GAAAUGCGAUAAGUAAUGUGAAUUGCAGAAUUCAGUGAAUCAUCGAAUCUUUGAACGCACAUUGCGCCCGCCAGCACUCUGGCGGGCAUGCCUGUUCGAGCGUCAUUUCAACCCUCAGAACCCCUUGCGGGAUCUGGCGUUGGGGAUUGGCAUCCAGCCAGCCCCGAAAUCUAGUGGCGGUCCCUCCGCGACCUCCCCUGUGCAGUAGCGAUACCUCGCAGCGGGACAGCGGUCUGACCACGCCGUAAAACCCCCAACUUCUCAAGGUUGACCUCGAAUCAGGUAGGAACACCCGCUGAACUUAAGC